UGCCAAACAAACGUUCUCGUUACGGCGACGCUUACAUAAACCACCAUGAGAAUGACGUCCAGGGUAUCAAAUAGAACCAAGCAGUUACACCCGACCCCGUUAUUAUUCGAUCGCUUAGACAACUGCACAACCAUUGCCCAGAGUUCCGGGUGGAUACGAUUCUGUAGGAUAGUGGGAAAGCCGCAGUACCAACAUUACCACCACGUAAGUGAAAACUUAGUUAGAUGGGAAUUAAAAGUGUCCUCGCAGUCAGGACGACUAGAGGAAAAGGAUAGAAGAUGCGGAAUGAGAAUUAAAUGAAGAAAAUAAUCGAAAGAGAGAUGACCUCUUGGAAACAAGACAGGAUGCUCUUUCGAACCUCUAAUGAAAUGGAGCGUUGUAAUGAAACUGCGAGCGUCCAAUGGUUAUUACGAACAGCAACCCCUAUUGCACUGAAGUACACGUUGUAUACAUAGUUAUAAUCCGACCAUUGAAUUCCCCGCGCACUCCCCUAUGGAGAUUACAGUUCCGAUUGUAUAUAGGAUCCUGUAUAAUGUCAGGCAGUAGGUAGGUAGGUAGGUAGGUAGGGAGGUAGACACUGGGAAUGUUAUACUAUUGGUGAUGGGAAAUGACGUCAGAGCGGCACGUCUAGUGGCAUAGUAAGUAGUAACGGAAUUGCAUAGUAGGCGGCAGAAUAGGUGACAGAAUGAUAAAAACUAUAGGAGAGAAUGAUAGCGAAGAGUAGUGGUAUAGUGAUAUCCACAGAGAGGGCGCGAGUAGUAGGAGUGAGUGGUGGUACUGGAACCAAUAGUAGGGAUGAAGACAGGUAAUUUUGUAAAUGGUCGGGCAGUGUGCAGUGAUCUUAGCCCGAGUGAGUGGUGCCGCUGGAGAUUAGUCUCGAGGUGUUAGUAGAGAACGGAUUGUCAAAUAUUCAGGAGCCGUAUAUCGUAGACUGUGGCCGACAGUGUUAGUGAAAUAAUUAGAGAAUAUUAACGUGCCAUGCCUGAUACCACCACAGCAUCCACACCGGUCCAUAUGGAACACGUUCUCUAACAUGAUCCUGAUGGCUUCCUGGUGAGCGGUGACUGCAGCAUACGCUGCUUCCAUUCCAGCAACCUCUUCAUGGACUCUUCACGCUGGAAUACGGAGAGAAGGACAAUGUACACCGCGAUGCACCGAACAUUACUGAGACCAGAUUUAUUUACCGCUCCUCGGAAUAGAAGUAACCAUCACUGGCCGGCACCUCGCUGGGAUUAACUAUGUCUAGACUGGACUUGGGUCUCUGUGGUCUUCUCUGUUGAUUAGGAUGAUUAGCACCAGGUUGUU